rnacentral:lncRNA from 1 species
AUAGAAGGGCGUACAAAUUAUCUAAGAAAUAUCAACAACAAAAGGAAGGACAAGGCGACAAGCAAGCAAAGAGUAUGAGUCAGCAACAAACAGGCGACAUAGAACCACGCCGAGACAUAAUAAUUGCCAAGUGACUUCAUUCACAAGCACUUCGCCUUCUUGAAGCCUCGUGCUUGGGGGGCUGUGUACCGGGCCAUGGACCAGGGUGUGAUUUGUUAAGGCCCAAUACGAAAAAGCCCAAUGAGAGCAUCU